CUUUACCAUUAACUUCUAUAGUUUGUGUGCAUGUGUGUGUGUGUAAUUCAUCAAUCAAAUUCAUAUAUAUAGGCUAAAAAAAUGCAAGUUUAUCUUUCUUUUGUAGGGUAAUAUACAUAUUUUUCUUAACCUAAUUGCAGCAGUGAGUAGGCCAGAUUGCUAUAACGAUGUGUGCACUACUGAGUGCACAAAAAAAGUGGGUUAUACUGUUAAUGGGUGUUGCUCUAAUGACGAAUGCUUCUGCAUUAGUUCCAAUACUGAUUGUUCGAAGGUUUUUCCCCUAGCAGGUGAAACCCUAGUUACUUUUACUUCUUUUUUUUGGCUAAAUUCACAUAUAUAUGCAAGUUUAUCUUUCUUUUGUAGGCUAAUAUACGUAUUUUUCUUAACCUAAUUGCAACAGUGACUAGGCCAGAUUGCUAUAACGACGCGUGCACUGCUGAGUGCACCAAAAAAAAAGGGUUAUACUGUUAAUGGGUGUUGCUCUAAUGACAAAUGCUUCUGCGUUAGCGCCAAUACUGAUUGUUCGGAGGUUUUUCCCCUAGCAGGUGAAACCCUAGUUACUUUUACUUCUCUAUUUUUUUUUUUUUUUUUUUUUUUUUUUUGUUGUCUCAAUUCAUAUAUAUAUAAGCUAAAAAAUGCAAGUUUAUCUUUCUUUUGUAGGCUAAUAUACAUAUUUUACUUAACCUAAUUGCAGCAGUGAGUAGGCCAGAUUGCCAUAACGAUGCGUGCACUACUAACUGCACAAAAAGAAUGGGUUAUACUGUUAAUGGGUGUUGCUCUAAUGACAAAUGCUUCUGUAUUAAUGCCAAUACUGAUUGUUCGGAGGUUUUUCCCCCCAGCAGGUGAAACCCUAGUUACUUUUACUUCUUUUUUUGGCUCAAGACCCAACUUUUUUGUUUAAGCCUCCAUUAGGCAAAUUUAUAAAUGUUUUAUAAAGAGGAAGAGUAGUGAGCCUCAUGUGUGUGAGUAAUAAUGAAUAGUAAUUAUAAAUUUGUUGUUGAGAUCAAAGUUUAAUUUUAACUCAACUUUUAAACCAUUUAUAAUCACAAGGAUUUUGUUUUUCACUAUAUUAUUAAUAGAACACAAGGGAAAAUCGUUAACAGGGGCCACAGAUAUUACAAAAAUGAAAGGUUGGUCCCUGAGGAUGUCAAAUAUUUAGUUGGGACUUCGAUUGGUACUUUUUUCUCGAAGUUUAACUCUCUAACUUGCAGAAAACAAAUCAUUGUUUGAUUUAGCUACAAAUGAGUUUUUUAAUAAAAGUUGACGAAACGUUAAAAAAUUGUGAGCCCUAUAAAAUACAUAGUUAAAAUUAAUUAAUGACUUUCACUUAAAUUUUUAUAAAAUUUGUAAUUCACGUGGCAUUCUAUCGCUAGAUAGUUUAAAAUACAAUUAGUUUUUAAUCCAAUUAUUCACUGUCACGUAUAAUUAUGUCAAGCUUUUUGUCAAAUCAUUAUGGCAAAGUAGCUUUAUCCACAUAUAAAUGGGUAACUACACGUAUAUUUUCUUUCACUCUUAGUCCCCGUUUGGCUCUCAUUAUUUUUAGUUAUAAUUUUUUCUCUAUUAUUUUCAAUCACACAAUUUUCUAUAUAAUAAUUUUACACGUAAAUUGAAAAUUUUUUCCUUCUUUUUCAACAAUACAUUCUCUAAACAAAUACUAUUUCAAAAAUGAAAAAAUUGAAAUAAUGGGGGACAAAAUGGGACUUUAACGCGGUCACUCAGGGGCAGAUCUUUGGGGGGGGGGGGUUUAUAGGGUCAAUUAACCCUCUAGAUUUUGUGGGGGGAUUGUUUGGCAUUUUUAUUUUUUUUUUAGCUUUUCUUUUAUUAGAAGAUAUCUAUAAUUUUUAUUUCUGACCCGUAACUCAAGCCGUCUACCAUCAGGACAAAGAAAAAUCUACGGAUUCAAAUGUGAGAGUUUUGAUGAAAAAUGUGAAAUCUCUUAAACCAUGUGGUUUAGCAUAGAAAACUGAGUUCUUUUUUUCUGUUAUUUGCAGGAGGGAAAAGUAAACCAGAGUUGUUGAUCCGCCAGGUCUAGGGCAAUACAUCUGAGAUUACUGCCCAGCGGCUGUAUGCAUAAAUAAACUGUAAAGGGCAAAAAAAAAAAAGAAAAAAAAAAUUAGAGGGCUGUAGCUCUCCUCAUAAAUAAAUCAAGAGCCAGUGUUUGUAUGCAUCUC
rnacentral:lncRNA from 1 species